rnacentral:rRNA from 1 species
ACUCCUACGGGAGGCAGCAGUGGGGAAUAUUGCACAAUGGGCGCAAGCCUGAUGCAGCCAUGCCGCGUGUAUGAAGAAGGCCUUCGGGUUGUAAAGUACUUUCAGCAGUGAGGAAGGUGGAGUCGUUAAUAGCGGCCUCAUUUGACGUUAGCUGCAGAAGAAGCACCGGCUAACUCCGUGCCAGCAGCCGCGGUAAUACGGAGGGUGCGAGCGUUAAUCGGAAUUACUGGGCGUAAAGCGCAUGCAGGUGGUUUGUUAAGUCAGAUGUGAAAGCCCGGGGCUCAACCUCGGAAUUGCAUUUGAAACUGGCAGACUAGAGUACUGUAGAGGGGGGUAGAAUUUCAGGUGUAGCGGUGAAAUGCGUAGAGAUCUGAAGGAAUACCGGUGCGAAGGCGGCCCCCUGGACAGAUACUGACACUCAGAUGCGAAAGCGUGGGGAGCAAACAGGAUUAGAUACCCUGGUAGGAUAGCG